rnacentral:rRNA from 1 species
GAUGAACGCUGGCGGCGUGCCUAAUACAUGCAAGUCGAGCGAACAGAUGAGGAGCUUGCUCCUCUGACGUUAGCGGCGGACGGGUGAGUAACACGUGGAUAACCUACCUAUAAGACUGGGAUAACUUCGGGAAACCGGAGCUAAUACCGGAUAAUAUAUUGAACCGCAUGGUUCAAUAGUGAAAGACGGUUUUGCUGUCACUUAUAGAUGGAUCCGCGCCGCAUUAGCUAGUUGGUAAGGUAACGGCUUACCAAGGCAACGAUGCGUAGCCGACCUGCGAGGGUGAUCGGCCACACUGGAACUGAGACACGGUCCAGACUCCUAAGGGAGGCAGCAGUAGGGAAUCGUCCGCAAUGGGCGAAAGCCUGACGGAGCAACGCCGCGUGAGUGAUGAAGGUCUUCGGAUCGUAAAACUCUGUUAUUAGGGAAGAACAAAUGUGUAAGUAACUAUGCACGUCUUGACGGUACCUAAUCAGAAAGCCACGGCUAACUACGUG